GGGGGUGACCGGCUUCGACUUCGGUGGUCGAAGCGGGAGAAGCGAGCCGUGGUCUCCGGAACCACGUUAAAGAGCCGGAACCAUACAAAUAAACGCCAAGCCUUCGCUUGUGCUGGCUGCUUAAUACGUAGCCCGUUCGUCCGGUCCUAGCCCUACGGGCCGGUAGCGAGCGUCAUCUUGUAGGACUCACCGGGCGGCCGUGUCGGCCGACCGCCCGGGACACCUCAGCCGACUAGGGCUUGUCGCCGACGCCAGUGACGACGUCGAGCCCGAAACCUUCCACUGGCUGCGCUCGGAGAAGUCCCGCUGAGAAACUGAAGGACGCGGGUUCGAUUCCCGCCACCUCCACCC
rnacentral:tmRNA from 1 species